UGGGAUGUCGCCAAGUGGUAAGGCAUCAGGUUUUGGUCCUGACAUUCGGGGGUUCGAAUCCCUCCAUCCCAACCA
rnacentral:tRNA from 1 species